UGGUCAACUCAACUCAACUCAA
rnacentral:siRNA from 1 species